CUGCAGGUGCCGCUGCAUCCUCUGGUGCUCGGAGCUCUGCGCGAGUUGGGCUUCCUGCACAUGACGCCGGUGCAGUCUGCCACCAUCCCUCUGUUCAUGAGAAACAAAGAUGUUGCUGCAGAAGCCGUCACCGGGAGUGGAAAAACUCUGGCUUUUGUCAUCCCCAUUCUGGAGAUCCUUCUGAGAAGGGAGGAGAAGUUAAAGAAGAACCAGGUGAGGCGGGCUGGCUGGUUGUCAUAGAGGCAGGAGGGAUCAGGCCUGAGGGAGAAGCUGGAUAGACUUCAGUCCCACCCUUUUUGGUAUCUGAGAAGUCAGUUUUUGAAUUUUCCUGCUUCUUAUACCAUAGUCAUUGCUGGGGUGCUCUCAAGACCCUGGGUACUUUGUCAGUCACCUGUGGGUAUGGGUAGCUUUCAUA
rnacentral:lncRNA from 1 species